AUACAUACCUGGACGGGGUCAACAAACGUUCAAGACGUUUUGAGUGGCCUGGGCUAGUGAUAUCCAUUGCACUGUGGAAGUGUGCUGUAUAGCUUAUGGUCUCUCCAAGUCGGAGACAUCGAGUCCCC
rnacentral:snRNA from 1 species